AGCGAACGCUGGCGGCAGGCCUAACACAUGCAAGUCGAACGAACCCUUCGGAGUUAGUGGCGGACGGGUGAGUAACACGUGGGAACGUGCCUUUUGGUUCGGAAUAACUCAGGGAAACUUGUGCUAAUUCCGAAUGUGCCCUUCGGGGGAAAGAUUUAUCGCCAUUAGAGCGGCCCGCGUCUGAUUAGCUAGUUGGUGAGGUAACGGCUCACCAAGGCGACGAUCAGUAGCUGGUCUGAGAGGAUGACCAGCCACACUGGGACUGAGACACGGCCCAGACUCCUACGGGAGGCAGCAGUGGGGAAUCUUGCGCAAUGGGCGAAAGCCUGACGCAGCCAUGCCGCGUGAAUGAUGAAGGUCUUAGGAUUGUAAAAUUCUUUCACCGGGGACGAUAAUGACGGUACCCGGAGAAGAAGCCCCGGCUAACUUCGUG
rnacentral:rRNA from 1 species